rnacentral:rRNA from 1 species
GAUUGGGGGAUCCGAUUUAGCAUGCUAGUUGCUCGAGUUCAGACUCGUAGCAGAUAGCUCAGUAACACGUGGCCAAACUACCCUAUGGAUCCGAAUAACCUCGGGAAACUGAGGCUAAUGCGGAAUAGCGUUCAUCGCCUGGAGUGGCACGAACGCGAAACGUUACGGCGCCAUAGGAUGUGGCUGCGGCCGAUUAGGUAGACGGUGGGGUAACGGCCCACCGUGCCCAUAAUCGGUACGGGUUGUGAGAGCAAGAGCCCGGAGACGGUAUCUGAGACAAGAUACCGGGCCCUACGGGGCGCAGCAGGCGCGAAACCUUUACACUGCACGCGAGUGCGAUAAGGGGACUCCGAGUGCGAGGGCAUAUAGUCCUCGCUUUUCACGACCGUAAGGUGGUCGUAGAAUAAGUGCUGGGCAAGACCGGUGCCAGCCGCCGCGGUAAUACCGGCAGCACAAGUGAUGACCGCUAUUAUUGGGCCUAAAGCGUCCGUAGCUGGCCACGCAAGUCUAUCGGGAAAUCCGCGCGCUUAACGCGCGGGCGUCCGGUGGAAACUGCGUGGCUUGGGACCGGAAGACCAGAGGGGUACGUCCGGGGUAGGAGUGAAAUCCCGUAAUCCUGGACGGACCACCGGUGGCGAAAGCGCCUCUGGAAGACGGAUC